AAACAUCUAAGUACCUAGAGGAAGAGAAAGAAAAAUCGAUUUCCUUAGUAGCGGCGAGCGAAAGGGAAAGAGCCCAAACCAAAGAUUUAUCUUUGGGGUUGCGGACAGAACAUUAAAGUGGAGGCUAUUGUAAUUGAAGAGUACUGGAAAGUACCACCGUAGAAGGUAAUAGUCCUGUAAGUAAAACGAGAAGACCACGAGUUCUGAUCCAGAGUACCACGAGACACGUGAAACCUUGUGGGAAGCAGGGAGGACCACCUCCCAAGGCUAAAUACUACCUGAUGACCGAUAGUGAAGCAGUACCGUGAGGG
rnacentral:rRNA from 1 species